rnacentral:rRNA from 1 species
AUGUUUCGGGCAAAUGAGGAAAGAUCCAAUAUCGUGAAAGAUGUAAUUCAGCAGUACUGCGAUGCCUCGGGACAACAAGUAAAUUUGGGAAAGUCAAGCAUCUUCUUCGGUAAAGGUUGCCCGGCAGGAACGAGGAACAUGAUAAAGUCUAUACUUGAUGUGCAAAUUGAGUCCCUCUCUGAAAAGUAUCUGGGGUUGCCAUCAGAAGUAGGGAGGUCAAAAAACAACUCCUUCAAAUACAUCAAUGACAAACUAUGGAGCCGUGUGCAGGGCUGGGUUGAGAAUUGCUUAUCUGCUGCAGGCAAGGAGGUCUUGAGCAAGUCCACGGCUCAAGCAAUCCCAACAUUUUUGAUGUCUUGCUUCCUCUUGCCUCGCGGUCUUCGUCAACAACUCGACGUGAUGCUCCGUAAGUUUUGGUGGGGGAGUAAAAAUGGACAACAGAAGGUUGCUUGGGUUUCAUGGGAGGUGAUGACGAUGCCGAAAUAUAUGGGAGGGUUGGGUUUCCGCGACACUCAGCUCUUUAACCCCGCGAUGAUUGCAAAGCAAUCUUGGAUAAUCAUGCAGGACACGUACUCUCUCAGUGCCAGAGUCCUCAAAUCUGUGUAUUUUCCGGACUGUGGCUUACUUGACGUCGAACUAGGAAACCACCCGUCUCAGGUGUGGAGGGCGAUUUGUGAAGGGAGGAUGGUGUUGAAGCGGGGCCUUGUUCGUUGA